rfam:Dipodomys ordii contig_80620, whole genome shotgun sequence.
GGGGAUGUAGCUCAGUGGUAGAGCCCAUGCUUUGCACGUAUGAGGUCCCGGGUUCGAUUCCCGGUAUCUCCA